rnacentral:rRNA from 1 species
GAUGAACGCUCGCGAUAGGCUUAACACAUGCAAGUCGAGGGGCAGCACAAGGUAGCUUGCUAUCUGGGUGGCGACCGGCGCACGGGUGCGUAACGCGUAUGCAACUUGCCCUAUACAGGAGGAUAACCCGUCGAAAGACGGACUAAUACUGCGUAUGCUCACAACUUGGCAUCAAGUGGUGAGGAAAGAAAUUCGGUAUAGGAUAGGCAUGCGUCCCAUUAGCUUGUUGGUGAGGUAACGGCUCACCAAGGCAACGAUGGGUAGGGGAACUGAGAGGUUUAUCCCCCACACUGGUACUGAGACACGGACCAGACUCCUACGGGAGGCAGCAGUGAGGAAUAUUGGUCAAUGGGCGCGAGCCUGAACCAGCCAAGUCGCGUGAAGGAUGACUGUCUUAUGGAUUGUAAACUUCUUUUAUACGGGAAUAACAAGAGUCACGUGUGACUCCCUGCAUGUACCGUAUGAAUAAGCAGCGGCUAACUCCGUG